rnacentral:tRNA from 1 species
GGGAGCAUGGCUUAGUGGUAAAGUGUUCGCCUGACAUGCAGAAGGUUCCAGGUUCAAUCCCAGGUAUCUCCA